AAAAAGUUUUAUCUUAGCUUAAUAUUUUUUUUAAUUUUUAAUUUACAUGUAAAUUUUUGUAUUAAUUAAAUUUUAUUUUAAAAGUAAAAUUUAUUUAUUUAUUCGCAGUAGGUAAUUUUAAUUAUUAAUUAUUAUUAGAAUUAGUAAAAAAUUAGAAUAUUAACAAAAUUUGUGCCAGCAGUUGCGGUUACACAAAUAAUGUGAAGAAAAUAUUUUAGUAAAAAUUAUUUAAAUAUUAUUAGAAUAUUAAUUAAAAAUUUUAAGGUGGAAUUUUAUUUUUUAUUAAUAUUUGAAUUUAGUUUAAGAAGUUUAGAAAUUUUUUAUAGAAACUAGGAUUAGAUACCCUAUUAUUUUAAAUGUAAUUUAUUUACUUAAUUAGUAUUAGUUAUGUUCUUAAAAAUUAAAGGAUUUGGCGGUAUUUUAAUCUAUUCAGAGGAACCUGUUCUGUAAUUGAUAAUCCACGAUUUGAAUUACUUAUUUUAUUAGUUUACAUAUCGUCGUAGUUAAAAUAUUUUAAAAGAAUGUUAAUAUUUAAUAUUUUUUAUUAAAAUAAAAAUCAGAUCAAGGUGUAGUUUAUAAAUAAGGAGAAAUGGGUUACAAUAAAUAAAUUUAUGGAUAUUUAUUAUUAAUUAGUAUUUAGAAAUUGGAUUUGACAGUAAUUUUAAAUAAAUUUUUAAAAUGAUUUUAGUUCUAAAAUAUGUACAUAUUGCCCGUCGCUUUUACUUUAAGGUAAAAUAAGUCGUAACAAAGUAGAUUUACUGGAAAGUGAAUCUAGAAUA
rnacentral:ncRNA from 1 species